rnacentral:misc_RNA from 1 species
AAGUCGUAACAAGGUAACCGUAGGUGAACCUGCGGUUGGAUCAUUACAAAAUGAACGUUGCGGUUGUUUUUCCUUUUAGGAGUUGAGAAACGACCAAGACGACCAACCACUGUGAAUUAUACUUGUCUUUUUGGGUGUGAGAUUAUGACCGCAAGGUUGUAAGUACCGCCCAAGCAAACAAACCCAUGAAUCUUCGUCUGAACCUUUUUUUAUAUAAAUAAAAACAACUUUUGACAACGGAUCUCUUGGCUCUC